AGAGCUCAUGCUUCCCAAGGUGCAUGGUUUCAACUACUUCUUGACCUAUCGAACAAGUCAAGAUCACCUUGAACUUUUCUUCUGCGCUGUCAGGCAAUGUGGUGGAUCUUCAAACAACCCCACAGCAGGACAGUUCACAAGCAUCUUCAGGCGACUUCUGGCCCGUACCGGCCGUUUGCUUGGAUCCGCGGAAGCAAAUGUGAAGAGACUAGAUGACACAGCCCUAUUGGAUGGUACAACAUCAACCUAUGUUCCUCCGCAUGACACCAAUGCUGCUGAGAUCACCCGGGAAGAACAUAACUAUGCAGCCCUGCACAAGAAUAUGGGCAUCCUGGUUGAGAACAUUGUGGUGUACAUUGCUGGAUGGGUGAUAAAGAAGGCUAUUGAUCAACUCCGCUGCGAAGACUGCAGAAUCAGCCUAGUGUCUGACACCUCUUCUGAGUCUUCAGUACACUACCAGGCAGCAUUGAAGUUCCUCAGCAUGAAGAACUGGAGCAGCAAGCUACAUGUACCAUCGGAUGGUGUCAUCGCAAUUCUCCUUAAGGCCGAGCAGCACCUGAGAGACCUAUCCAGUAUGAAGUAUGUAAACCCAAAGAUCAGCCUGGUGCGACUGCAGUAUCUUGUAUUACGAGAUGUUGACCCUGAUGUCCUGUGUUUGCACUCGCAUGUUAUGGAUACAGCACAAGGAAUAGACAACCACAGUUAUGACUUGGUCCGUUUGCUGGUCAAGAUCUACUUCAA